rnacentral:rRNA from 1 species
UACAGAGGUGGCAAGCGUUGUUCGGAAUUACUGGGCGUAAAGGGCGCGUAGGCGGCCCGUCAAGUCCCGUGUGAAAGCCCCCGGCUCAACCGGGGAACUGCACGGGAAACUAGCAGGCUUGAGUUCGGGAGAGGGAAGCGGAAUUUCGGGUGUAGCGGUGAAAUGCGCAGAUAUCCGAAGGAACACCGGUGGCGAAGGCGGCUUCCUGGACCGACACUGACGCUGAGGAGCGAAAGCCAGGGGAGCAAACGGG